AGCAAAUCGCAAAGUGAAAACAGGCGAUAAAUCAUUCAAGUUUUUGACCUAUCAGCUUUCGACGGUAUGGUAUUGGCUUACCGUGGCAGUGACGGUUAACGGGGGAUUAGGGCUCGAUUCCGGAGAGGGAGCCUGAGAAACGGCUACCACAUUUAAGGAAGGCAGCAGGCGCGCAAAUUACCCAAUUUUAACAGUUUGAGAGAGGUAGUAACAAGAAAUAACAAUACAAGGCAGUUAAAAUGCUUUGUAAUGGGAAUGAUAGAAAUUUAAACCCUUUUUAAAGUAUCAAUUGGAGGGCAAGUCUGGUGCCAGCAACCGCGGUAAUUCCAGCUCCAAUAGCGUAUAUUAAAAUUGUUGCAGUUAAAAAGCUCGUAGUUGAAGUUCUGCUAAAAGUAACCGGUCUGCUU
rnacentral:rRNA from 1 species